CCUACGGGUGGCAGCAGUGAGGAAUAUUGGUCAAUGGACGAGAGUCUGAACCAGCCAAGUAGCGUGAAGGAUGACUGCCCUAUGGGUUGUAAACUUCUUUUAUAUGGGAAUAAAACGUUCCACGUGUGGGAUUUUGUAUGUACCAUAUGAAUAAGGAUCGGCUAACUCCGUGCCAGCAGCCGCGGUAAUACGGAGGAUCCGAGCGUUAUCCGGAUUUAUUGGGUUUAAAGGGAGCGUAGGUGGAUUGUUAAGUCAGUUGUGAAAGUUUGCGGCUCAACCGUAGAAUUGCAGUUGAAACUGGCAGUCUUGAGUACAGUAGAGGUGGGCGGAAUUCGUGGUGUAGCGGUGAAAUGCUUAGAUAUCACGAAGAACUCCGAUUGCGAAGGCAGUUCACUGGACUGCAACUGACGCUGAGGCUCGAAAGUGUGGGUAUCAAACAGGAUUAGAUACCCGUGUAGUC
rnacentral:rRNA from 1 species